GAGGGUAUAGCUCAGUGGUAGAGUGAGUGCUUAGCAUGCAUAAAGUCUUGAGUUCAAUCCACAGUACUUCCA
rnacentral:tRNA from 1 species